GUUAUUAUUGGUUUUACCUUAGUGGUUCAGGGUAAAACACAGUUUGGAAAAUAGAUUGAUUAUGUACUCGCUUGUACAUUUUUAACACAUUAAAUUUACUUCAUACAGCUUUAAUGAACGAUUACGAUUUGAGGCUUAUCAGAGCUACUGAAAUAAUAAUAAUAAUAAAAAAAAAAACAAAUCGAAAAUUAAAUCGUCUUCAUUAUCUUGCCAACAUAUGCUGCAAAUACAAAAGCGACCACAUCAAAACAAAACAAUAUAACCCUGCCCAAAACAAUGCAAUGGAUUUAAUGGUUAUAUUGGGAAUUUUAUUUGUUUUAAAGUAAACUAUAAUGGUGUCUGACCACAUCAGAAAUGUUUAAGGGAACUGGUGACGAACAUGACACGAGAUUGCUUAAAGACGUCUGCUCUGAAAGAUUUAGAGUUUUUCCAUGUGAGGACAUGAGAGAUUCUGAGCCCUGCAGAAUGAAACACACUGAAGUACAAACAGAGCUGAUUGAGGAAAACAUAAAGAUUGAAGAACCGAGUGAAGAAGAGGAGGAGAAACAUCAUGCGAAUACUGGAGAAAAACCUUUGAGUCACUCCGAUGAGAAAUCUUUCACCUGCACUCAGUGUAGAAAGAGUUUGACGAGCAAACAGAGUCUUGAGAUUCACAUGAUGAUCCACGCUGAAG